rnacentral:rRNA from 1 species
GAUGAACGCUAGCGGGAGGCCUAACACAUGCGAGCCGAGCGGUAGAGAUUCUUCGGGAUCUUGAGAGCGGCGUACGGGUGCGGAACACGUGUGCAACCUGCCUUUAUCAGGGGGAUAGCCUUUCGAAAGGAAGAUUAAUACCCCAUAAUAUAUUGAUUGGCAUCAAUUAAUAUUGAAAACUCCGGUGGAUAGAGAUGGGCACGCGCAAGAUUAGAUAGUUGGUAGGGUAACGGCCUACCAAGUCAAUGAUCUUUAGGGGGCCUGAGAGGGUGAUCCCCCACACUGGUACUGAGACACGGACCAGACUCCUACGGGAGGCAGCAGUGAGGAAUAUUGGACAAUGGGUGAGAGCCUGAUCCAGCCAUCCCGCGUGAAGGACGACGGCCCUAUGGGUUGUAAACUUCUUUUGUAUAGGGAUAAACCUUUCCACGUGUGGAAAGUUGAAGGUACUAUACGAAUAAGCACCGGCUAACUCCGUGCCAGCCGCCGCGGUAA